GGCAUUUUGAGACUCCACAGUUGCUCUACUCUCAGCACUGCCUGAUAACAAGAGAUUUGUGAGGACAUCUCUGUGCAGAAAAGAUGGGAGUGGGCAGAAGGAAACUUUUCACAGUGACUCAGAAUUAUAUCAGUGUAGGAGGGAGAAAUGUUACUUUGAGAGUGUCAUGGAAGAGGAGUGUUCAUGUAAUGGAACUGUUAUGUAAUUUGAAAUAUUGCAGCGGCGCAUUUGACCUACUUCCCAGCUUUUGCUGAUGUUGAGGGCACUGGGACAUGACUAAGUCUUUACCGAGCAGUGGGCCUUAUGAAUAAGACAUGAAAAGAGGAUUGCAGAUCCUGAGUUAUAAAAUCCAGUGAGAUCAAGAAUUUGUUCAGAGUGGAGUGAUGAAACCUGCUUUUCAUGUGUGUCAAGGCUGAUGUUUCCAGUGGAUUCCCUCAUGUGUCAUAAGGAAUGGAUGCCCUCCUGAAGGAAGAACAGAGUUUUGUGGAGUUUUAAGACAUGUUGUUAUUUAUCAGAAGAUCUCUACAUAAAAACAUACCAACG